GCGUGGCAACCUACCCUUUACUACGGGACAACAGUUGGAAACGACUGCUAAUACCGUAUACGUCCUACGGGAGAAAGAUUUAUCGGUGAAGGAUGGGGCCGCGUUAGAUUAGCUCGUUGGUGGGGUAAAGGCCUACCAAGGCGACGAUCUAUAGCGGGUCUGAGAGGAUGAUCCGCCACACUGGGACUGAGACACGGCCCAGACUCCUACGGGAGGCAGCAGUAGGGAAUAUUGGACAAUGGGCGCAAGCCUGAUCCAGCAACGCCGCGUGAAUGAUGAAGGCCUUAGGGUUGUAAAAUU
rnacentral:rRNA from 1 species